rnacentral:rRNA from 1 species
UACGUAGGGGGCAAGCGUUGUCCGGAGUUACUGGGCGUAAAGCGCACGCAGGCGGUCGCGUAAGAGUGCGGGGACAGUGGGCGGCUUAACUGCCCAAGGGUCGCACAGACUGCGUGACUGGAGGGCCAGAGAGGGACCUGGAAUUCCGGGUGGAGCGGUGAAAUGCGUAGAGAUCCGGAGGAACCCCAAUGGCGAAGGCAGGGUCCUGGCUGGCACCUGACGCUCAUGUGCGAAAGCCAGGGGAGCGAACGGG